CACUAGGGAUGUAAAUGGUUAACAAGUAAGCAUCAUCCUUACUGGCACUCCCCUGCAGCCCUUACCCCGUUCUUUCUCCUCCCCAACCCAGCUUCUGAAGGCAGGCUUGAUUAGAUCUAGCUCUGUCUGAGGCAGCAAUGUAUUCCUCUGCUGCAGUGACUGCUCCCCACCACUGGGCAUGCUACCGGCCCUGCCCUGUGGCAUCAGUGAGCAAAGCACUGAGCAGGUGAGAGAUAAUAUGGGUGGGGCAUGACAAUGAUCAAAACAGCCUCAGUGCUUAGUUUCUAGUCUCUCCCUUUGAAUUUACUGCGCCUAAGAUUGAAAUUUGAUUGGACCCGGUUGGAACUUGUAACCAAACGGUUAAUUUUUGUGUGUGACUUGAAACAGGACUGAUCAGCAGGCAGGGAAGCCGGUGCAACAGCUGGGUUUGAGCUCUCACGCUGCUCCAAAGUGUGGCUUGCUUUCCCCUUGGGUGCUCUGUAGCCCGGUGCCUGGCCUCGUGCUCCAUGAGCAAGACCAACUGGCCCAUUACCUAGCUGUCCCUGGCUUCCUCUGCCUCCUGCUCUUGGGUUUGAUUGGCUCCCUUCCUUUUCAGGGGCAGGGCGUCAGGAAGGAGGUGCUGCAAGAGUGCCAACAUGUGAGCACAUUGCCUUGGCACCAGCCUGCCCCUUGCUGCACAGGCCUGUCUGCGGGACUGAUGGAAACACCUAUAGCAACGAGUGCCUGCUCUGUAUCAUGCGAAGGUAGAAGGUGAGUGCCCUGCAGACAUCCAGGGUAUGAAAAGCCACUCCCUUGUCCUCAUGUUGACGUGCUGUGCUACCUGGCUUCAGGAAGAAGAUGGGUCUUCUGGAAUUUGUGGGGAUGAGCUGCACUGAGUUCGGGAAGGUCUUUUCCCUGGUGUUCUGGAGGGACACGCCUGGAGGUGUAACUUGUGGAUGGCUGGAUGGGAAAAUCUGACCAUUUCGCUGCAUGAGGAGAGAUGAGACUGGCAGGUACAACGGUGGCCAGAGUAACCUUCUUGAAGCGUUGGUAUCUAACAAAAUGGUUGCACCUGCAGAGGUCCAAAAAAUGGGUCUCCAGCAGCCCGACUUCUUGGUGGUACCUGAAUGCCUGAGUCUUGAGUAUGGCCCUGGAAUCCUUCACGUUAUGCAGAGAAGUGUUUGUGGACUCAGGAAAGAGCUUUGUACCUUGAACAGGAGGUCUUCUACAACGGACUGGACCUCUCAGAAAGCCCAAAAGCUGAAGCCAAGAUGCUCACCUCAUUACCACAGCUGAGGCCAGGGAUCUGGCUGCUGUGUCCGCUGAGUCCAACGUGGCCUGUAGGGCUGUACAGGAUAUUAGUAUGCCCUCCUUAAUGUUUGAUUUAAACUCUUCUCUUUUCUUGUCUGGGAGGGACAGAAUGCAAGAUGUUAGUUGACUGAAAAUAUGAUGUGUAUAUUUUGCUAGUAAAACAACGUAGUUGGCUUCUGA